rnacentral:lncRNA from 1 species
ACUUUUCGUGAGGCGUCACAUCCUGCUGCUUCACCCUCUGGUGCACGGGAGGACCAACUAUUUCAGUCGGUAUGUCCUUUCUUUAGGGAAGCCGAAUUCCUCCGUUUCUAGGAGAAAUUCCUUGAAUUUUCACCAUUUAUCCUUCUCAGACCUCAGUUACUCAAGACUGCUCCGCAUAGUAAAAUGCUGAAAGCAACAAUGCACAGUAGUUGUAUUAAAAUGCACUAAUACUCAUGAAUAUUCUCUGUAAGUUGUAAAAUGGCACACAGUUGUGCGGUGUUAGUGGCUUACUCUCUCAAGAUUCUAAACAAUUACGGCUAGGUUUCUAUCUAUAUGUAUUCAAAGCUUUGUGAGAGUCAACUAAGUAACAAACACCAUUUCUAAGGCCCGAAGCACAUUGAAAGAACAAAACUUGAUUCCCGCCAACAACUGCUUUAACAGACAAUUCAUGAAGAGGAAAUAUAAAUUGCUAUUUAAAACACUGGGAUGGCUGGGCGUGGUGGCUCAUGCCUGUAAUUCCAGCACUUUGGGAGGCCGAGGCGGGCAGAUCACCUGAGGUCGGGAGUUCGAGACCAACCUGACCAACGUGGAGAAACCCUGUCUAUAUUAAAAAUACAAAAUUAGCCGGGCGUGGUGGCACAUGCCUGUAAUCCCAGCUACUCAGGAGGCUGAGGUAGGAGAAUCGCUUGAAUCCUGGAGGCGGAGGUUGCAGUGAGUCGAGAUCACACCAUUGCACUCCAGCCUGGGCGACAGAGUGAGACUCGAUCUAAAAAAAAAAAAAAAAAAUUGGGAAAAAAGUUUGAUCUUACCAGUUUCAAAAUACAAAACGCAAAACCUUAGGGUAUAUCGAGGUUAGGGGUCCCAAUGAUCCCAACAGGAUGUAAGCAUAGUACUCAACAGGUGCUUUUUCAACCCAUGCCCCUCUGUCCGUCUCCCCCUUUCCUCAUCUAAUGAUCCUCAAUGCCUGUUGUUUCCACGUUUACCAUCAUAUAUUCAAUGUUUAGCUCCUACUUAUAAGUGAGAACAUGUGUAUUUGGUUUUCUGUUCUUGGCAUUAGGUUGCAUAGGAUAAUGGCUCCAGUUCCAUCCAUGUUGCUACAAAGAGUAUAAUUUCCUUAUUUUUAUGGCUGCAUUAUAUUCCAUGGUGUAUAUGUACCACAUUUUCUUUAUCCAGUCCACUGUUGAUGGGCACUUAGGUUGAUUUCAUGUCCUUGCUAUCGUGAAUGGCACUACAAUGAACAUACGGUUGCAUGUGUCUUUUUUUUUUUUUUUUUUUUUUUGGCUUGAGGCAGGGUUUUGCUGCGUCACUCAGGCUGGAGUGCAGUCGUGCAUGGCUCACUGCAGCCUCAACUUCCUGGGCUUAACUGAUCCUCCUGCCUCAGGCUUCCAAGUAGCUGUGACUACAGGUGUGCACUACCACAACUGGCUAAUUUUUGCAUGUUUUGUAGAGAUGGGGUCUUGCCAUGUUGCCCAGGCUGGUCCAGAACUCCUGGGCUCAAACUAUCCACCCGCCUAGGCCUCCCAAGUGCUGGGAUUACAGGCAUGAGCUGCGGUGCCCAGCUCUGUGUCUUUUUGAUGGCAUGAAUUAUUUUCCUUUGGGUAUAUACCCAGUAGUGGGAUUGCUGGGUUGAAUGGUAGUUGUAUUUUAAGUUCUUUGAGAAAUCUCCAAACUGCUUUCCAUAGUGGCUGAACUAGUUUGCAUUCCCAUCAACAGAGUAUAAGCAUUCCCUUUUCUUCACAGCCUAACCAAUAUGUGAAUUUUUUUUCUUAAUAAUUGCCAUUCUGAUGGGUGUGAGAUGGCAUCUCAUUGUAGUUUUGAUUUGCAUUUCUCUAAUGAUCAGUGGUGUUGAGGAUUUUUUCAUGUUUGUUGGCUAUUUGUAUGUCUUCUUUUGAGAAGUGUGUGUUCAUGUCCUUUGCUCAUUUUUUAAUUGGAUUGUUUUAUACUUCUUGGUUUGUUUAAAUUCCUUAUAGAUUCUGGAUGUUAGACCUUUGUCAGAUGCAUAGUUUGCAAAUAUUUUCUCCUUCCCAUUCUUAGGCUAUCUGUUUACUCUGUUGGUAAUUUCUUUUGCUGUGCAGAAGCUCUUUAAUUAGGUCCCACUUGUCAGUUUUUAUUUUUGUUGUAAUUGCUGUUGGGGACUUAGCUAUAAAUUCUUUUCCAAAGCCUGUGUCAAGAAGGGUAUUUCCUAGUUUUUUUUCUAGAGUUUUUAUAGUUUGAGGGCUUACUUUUAAAUCUUUAAUCCAGCUUGUGGUAAUUUUUGUAUAUGGUGAGAGGUAGGGGGGUCCAGUUUCAUUCUUCUGCAUAUGGCUAGCCAGUUAUCCCACCACCAUUUACUGAAUAGGGAAUGCUAUCCGUGUUGCUUAUUUUUGUUGAUUUUGUUGAAGACCAGAUGGUUUUAGGUGUGUGGCUUUAUUUCUGGGUUCUCUAUUCUGUUCUACUGGUCUAUGUGUCUGUUUUUGUAACACUACCAUGCUGUUUUGAUUAGUUUAGCCUUAUAGUAUUGUUUGAAGUCUUGCUUUGUUCUUUUUGCUUAAGAUUGCUUUGACUAUUCAGGCUCUUUUUUGGUUCCAAAUUAAUUUUAGAAGAGGUUUUUCUAGUUCUGUGAAAAAUGAUGUUGGUAUUUUGAUAAGGAUAGCGUUAAAUCUGUAAUUUGUUUUGGAUAGUAUGGCCAUUUUAACUGUAUUGAUUCUUCCAACCCAUGAGCAUGGAAUAUUUCUCCAUUUAUUUGUGUUGUCUCUGCUUUCUUUCAGUAGUGUUUUGUAGUUCUCCUUGCAGAGAUCUUUCACCUCCCUGGUGAGAUGAUCCUGAGUAUUCCAUUUUCUUUGUGCCUAUUGUAAAUGGGAUUGUGUUCUUGAUUUGAUUCUCAGCUAGAACAUUAUUGGUGUAUAAAAAUGCUACUGAUUUUUUGUGCAUUGAUUGUGUAUCCUGAAACUUUACUGAAUUUGUUUAUCAGUUCCAGGGGCCUUUGGGAGAGUCUUUAGGGUUUUCUAGGUGUAGAAUCAUAUCGUUGGCAAAGAGAGAUAGUUUACCUUCCUCUCUUCCUAUUUGAAUAUCUUUAUUUAUUUCUCUUGCCUGAUUGCCCUGGCUGGGACUUCCAGUACUAUGUUGAAUAAGGGUGGUGAGAAUGGGCAUCCUUUUCUUGUUCCAGUUCUCAAGGGGAAUGUGUUUCCAGUUUUGGCCUUUAGCAAUUUAGUAAUAUAUUUAUGAAACUCCAAAAAGUAAAUAGCCAGAGUUUCACUUCUUCUUUUUUUUUUUUUUUUUUGAGACAGAGUCUUGCUCUAUCACCCAGGCUGGAGUGCAACGGUGUGAUCUUGGCUCACUGCAACCUCAGCCUCCCGGGUUCAAGCAAUUCUCCUGCCUCAGCCUCCCAAGUAGCUGGGAUUACAGGCAUGCGCUGCCACACCCAGCUAAUUUUUGUAUUUUUAGUAGAGGUGGGGUUUCGCCAUGCUGGUCAGGCUGGUCUUGAACUCCUGACCUCAGGUGAUCCACCCAUCUCGGUCUCUCAGAGUGCUGGGAUUACAGGCAACUGUGAGCCACCGCACCUGGCCUAGAGUUUCACUUCUAAGAAGCUAUCCAUAGUAAAUAAUCACAUCUGUAGCUAAGAUUUUUGAAAAGGAUGACUAUUGCAAUGUUAUUUAUAGUAGUGAAAAAUUGAAAAUAGUCUAAGUAUUCAAAAGUGAUUAAAUAACUUGCAGAAGUGUCCCAAUUUGGAAUAUUAUGCAAGAAUUUAGUAUUUUUAAAAAUAAUCUUAGUGACAGGAAAAUCCUUAAUACAUGUAUAUACAUAAUUAUAAUUCUGUAUAAUUCUUAUAUACAGGAUUAUAAUUAUAAUUAUAUACAUGAUUAUAAUUCUGUUAAAUGAUAGGAUCCCUGCUUGGGAGGAGCUAACAGGCUAGUGGAAGAUACAGACCAGUAAGUGUUAUCACAAUAUUUUACUUAACUUAAGGAAUUAUUAUGAAAAAAGUGGAUCUCUUUAUAUAUUAAUUCAUGUUACUAUUAUUUAUAUUAACAUAAAGCUCUCUCUGUAACACACAUAUACAGUGUUGAUUAUGUUCUCUUUGAUGGAAGUGGCAAUUAGAUCCAGGGAUUCUUAAUCAUUCUCUGAGGCUGGCUGGAACUAUAUCAAGUGAGUGCAGGAGCUUGGGUCAUCCAUAAUCUACCAUGCAGGCCAGAGAAGCAUAGGAAGGAAAAGCAGGAAUAGCAGAUGAAGUGAGUCCAGAUAGUAUUCAGCUAAUAGAUACAGCUCCUCUCUGAGACCUCCUAAUGCUCCUGUGUAUUUUCAGAUUCUCCUUGGUUGCUAUUGUUUCUUUGUUAAACAUCUUAAUUUAUAAAAAUAUUUUUCCAUAAAUUUGUUAAUGUUUUCUCAUGUUUGUUGAGAGGAAUAGAAAAGAUGAUGCAUCUAAAAUACUUAGCACUGGACCUGGCAUAUACAAGCACCCAAUAAACAAUAAUAAUACCUGCUUACUCAGAGUUAGGAAAUAAUUUCCAUGGGUGUCUCAUGUUUCUGUAUGUUUUACAAAUGGAGGUCUUCUCUGCCUUUUGUUGUGGCAGUUUUGUAUAACGAACAACCUUAGGAAAUAUAGCAUCUCUCUCUGGAGCAAAAGGCCUCAUGCUUACUGCCUAUUAUAAAAGAUUUGUGUUCUCAUAGGUCAGGGUUCCUCUCUGUAAUGCAAUGUACUGUACGUGCUCAGGCAUCUACGUAGCCCCAGCUGCAUCAUCCCCAUGAACUUGGGGCCAAGGGGAGCUGACACAAAUAUGCCGAUACUCGUGCUGCUCGCUGCACCAUCAGUAAUUGGGUUCUUUGUUUCUAGCAAGGAGUCUCAUAUCUUCUACCAGCAUCCAUGCAACCAUGACAGGAUAACUUGAUAGCCUGCUAAUAGGGUAAGAUCUCGGACCCUUCACAAUAUUAUUCUUCUCUGGACUUUUAAACAUUUUUCAUUUUUCCAGUUUUACUUACAGAAAUAUCUGAGUGCCAGCUAGGUUUAAGGUUAGAUGUGAGGAAUGUAAAGAAAACCAGUUCAAUCCAACAACUAUUCAAGUUCUUACUACGUGCAGGGAUUUCUGCUAGGAUACGCAAGGAUUGCAAAGAUUUCUGCUCUCCAGUAAUUUGUAAUAUAUUAAUAACUGAGAGAAUAGAACAAGCAUUUUAAUAGCCUUCAACACAGAGCUUUAAUAGGUUAGUGUCAUGUAAAUGUUAAGAAAAUAAUAAAUCCUAUAAUUCAGUUGAAGGUUAAAUGCUUUUUGAUAAUGGUUAUCAAGAAGAGAUAGGAUUUGAACCUUAGGGGUUUUAGUUAGUAGAGGUUGUAAGGCAAGGGGUCCAGGAGAGAGGAUUGGAGUGAGCAAGUACAAUUUACUCAUCGCUUUGCUCCUUCCUACUCAGGGACUUUGCAUAUGGUAAAGCAUCACUACUCAACUUGGAGCUCUUUCUCCUCUUUAUCUGGCCAAUUCCUUUAUAUCUUUCAGAUUCCAGUUUAAAUGGUGACUUUUUAGAGUAACUCUUUAAGAAGUCAUUCCCACUCAAACAACAUGCAGAUUUGGUACUUUUGUUAUGGACUCAUACAGCAACCCAGCCUUCCCAUGUCUCUGCACUUAAUAUUUGUUUUCUCCAUUAUGGUAGAGACCAUAUGUGUCAUGGUGUCUCCAGUGCUUAUCAUGCCUGGGCCAUAACAAGCUUUUGGUAAGUGUGUGUUGAAUGAAUGAGUGAAUGUUCAAAAUAUGGUCAUAGUUUGGUGAGGAAACUUCGUAGACUGGGGCAUAGGAAUUAUAUGAAGACUGGGUGGAAUUGGGGUGAACAAAAUGAAAAAGGUAGAAUAAAAAAGACUAAGGAAAUUGAAUUUCAUACAGUGGACUUGCAGGAGAUUUUGAAAUUUUUUGAGCUAAAAUAGAUAAAAAUCAGUUUGAAUUUCUUUCUAGAAAAUAACUAUUUGCCAUUUGCUAGUGUAGGCAAAUGAAUCCUUUCCUCUUCCAAUGUCUGAUGAGAUGGCCUGGACAUGAGAAAUGCUCCCCUGCUGAAAGCAGCCUAGUUUAUCUAAAUCUCAAAGGCCAACAGGGUAGCAGGGAAGUGGGUCCUGGUUUUUUUCAUUGCAAAUAACCACUUUUUUUUUUUUACCUUUAUAAGCUCCCAUUUAAAACACAGCUUACACUCUUUACCAACAACAUGUAUGAAGCCACUACUUAUUUUCCUAUUUUCCAUUAAUUCAAGAUAAGUUACUGUUGGUGAGUGGGAGAUAAGCAGUGCUGAUUUAACAGUAAGCUGAUAAAUUUACAGGGGAAGGCGAAGAUACUUGCCAAUUUCUUCAGUGGUUUCCAAUUUCAUCUCCAGCAAUGAUACAAUUUUUUGAGGCAUUUUAAUAUGUCCAAAUCCUCUUGAGGACCCCAUUGCUCCAGUACUCUUUCCUCUGAUGUUUAGAGGUCUGGGGUCCCAGCUUGGGCACAAUUGUAUCAGAUGACCAGAGAUCACCCAGGACUACGACUAUAGCUCUGGUGACUUCACGGAGAGAGAAUGCAGCCUGGACCACUCACAUGUGUCAGUCAUUUUCUCUUGGAAUAGGUGAUGUGAAGGAAUCUCGAUGUGUUUUAAAGCCUGUGAAUGAGGCAUUGAGAAAGAGAGAGCUCUGGACCAAAUGGGUUUCAUUUUCUUCCUUAGCUUACUUGGAGCUCUUGCCACUAGGGGGAGGAUGUGAAAAGAACCAAGGACAAUUCUUUGCUUCUUUGCUCUCAUCUCUGAAGCUGAGUCAGAGGGCCCAUUGUCACAAAAGCUUUGUGUAGCUUUAUGUUAAUUUCACAUUUUGCAUGGCUGGAAAGUGACUAUCAGCCCGUAUUCCCUGAAAAUCUGGGGAAAUUUUUUUUUUCCUAAUUAUACAGGGAGGCUGGCAAUGACACCCGAUUCCGAGUUUGCCCAUUAAAAUAAAUCAAAGAAAAGAAUGAUUAAAAGAAUGGUAGAAAAGAAGAAGAAAGAGCUGUCAAAACAUUAUAUACUUUGCAAUGUUACAUCAUAACCUGGUGUCUCUCAUCGAUUACUCAUUUUUUCUUUGAAUGACUAUUGAACACUAUUUAUGGUGCCAGGCACUGUGCUAAGCCAUGAAGAUAUAAACAUAAAACACAGUCCUGCUCUCAGAUUGUCAACAGUCUAUUGUAAUAAAUAUUAUGAUGAAGGGUAGUAUAGGCUGCCAAGGGAAUGCAUAAGAGAGGCUUAUAUUACCCUAAGCAGGGAUCCGUCGGAAGGCAUUAGUUUGAAAGGAUGUGUGAAAGACAGUUUGGUUAAAUGGAUUUGGUGAAUGGUGGUGUGGAGUACGUUGUGUGGAAAAGGCAACAGCACUUGCAAAAGCCGGGAAGUGUGUGUGAGAGAGCCUGGUUCAUUUGGGAAUGGAGAGAAUGGCUGGAGCAAUGGGUUAAGGGUAGGGAAAUUCAGAAGGUGAGGUUGGAAAAGGUGAGGCUGGCCUUCAAGGUCUUUUUUACUUUAUCCAUGAGUAAGAGGAAUCACUGAAGGGCAUUAGGCUAGGGAGUAGCUUUGAAAAGAAAGGUGGCCAGGCAUGGUGGUUCACCCUGUCAUCUCAGCAGUUUGGGAGGCCAAGGUGAGAGGAUCAGUGGAGCCCAGGAAUUUGAGACCAGCCUGGGCAACAUAGCGAGCUCCUGUCUCUAUAAAAAUUAAAAAAAAUUAGCCGGGCAAUGGGACACAUGCCUGUAGUCCCAGUUACACAGGGGGCUGAGGUGGGAAGAUCUCUUGAGCCCAGGAGGUCAAGGCUACAGUGAGCCCUGAUUGCACCACUGCACUCCAGCCUGGGCAACAGAGACCCUGUCUCAAAAACGAAAACGAAAAAAUGAAAAGAAAAGGAAAAAAACCAAAAGGGUGUUUGCCUGCCCUUUGCUGAGUCCUUCAGCGGUCAAGGCUGUGUAUUUCACCUAGAUUCCCUGUCCUAGGUACUGAUCUGGAAAACCCUAGACAUCUGCCCCUUUCCUGGUCAGAGAAGACCCCUGGCCUGGCAGAGCCUACAGCUCCAGCCUCAAGGUACCUGAUUGGAGAAGUCCUCCUCAUUGUAUGACUUGGCUGCCUUGGACCUCACUGGGAAAGACUAGGGAAAUAGGAUUUUGGGGUCUUGACUUUGGAAUUCAUUUUCCGCACUGGGGUAUAGCAGAGCUGAAAAAUCUCACUAAACUCUCAGCAUGGUCUGUAUCCUUCCUGUCUCCAACAACAAGGUGGGGCAUUCUUCCUCAAAAAUUCUUCACAUGUAGGUGUUGCCUCAUCUCUUAUCUCACACACAUGAGCUCAUUUGAGCUCUUUGGCAACUCCGUGAGCUGGGUACCAUUGCUCCUGUUUCAUAGAUGGGAAAACAGGUUCAGAAGGCUGAAGUGACUUGUCCCAGGUCACAGAGCAAGUACGUGGUAGAACUCAUAAUCGAUUGUGCUGCACACUGCAUAGAUAAGUCACCCCUGUUCCUUCCACCAAUUUAUUUUAACUGGGUACAUGGCACAAAUUGUGAAAUUAUGUGUACUCUUAGGGACACAUCAUCCCUCAUCCUCCAAGAAACUGUUAGUACAGAAGUGACAAAUGGGUUUCAUCUUCAUGCCAAUACCCUUCAAUUGACCGUGGCUGCUUAGAACAAAGUGAUGAGUGUUGUGAGGCCAUAUCUUGGUGCAGCAGUAAAGAAUACAUGAUUGAUUGGUAGUAUCUGAUAUGAAUGCAGGAGAGAAAGGGGGCAGCACAUAUGCCAUUUCUAGAUUAUAUAUUCCCCUUAGGCUGCCAUAAUCCUGCACUGGCCAUGACAUUUCCACUGACUCCCACCUUCAUCCCAACACCCAUUUUGCUCAUUUUCUCUUAUUCCUUCCCUUCCUUGCUGAAAUUGUUCCCACCCAUUUAACAAUAGCUUCAACUUACUGAGGGUUUAGUGGGUACCAGGCACUUUGCGUAUAUUAUUUCUAAUUCUCCAACAAUCAUGUAAGGUAGGUAGAGACAAAAACAAGACUUAGAGGGGUUAAGUAGCUUGUUCAGGGACAUACAACAAGCUGGAAUUUCAACCCUGAAGCACAUGGAAAACUUUGCAUUUUUAUAAUGGGUAAUGAAAACCUUCAUAUUCACUGUUUGCUUUGAGCCUCACAACAGCCUCGGGAGGUAGUUUUCUGGGUUUGCAACUGAGGGAGCUUGAGGCUCAGGGGAGAGGCGCUGAUUAUUUAGUGACAUAGUCACAGCUCCUGACUCCUACCUCAGGCCUUUUCCUGCUACUACCUUAGGCUCUGGGGAAGAGCCCUUGACUCCACAAAGCUAUCUCUUAAGAACUGAUCUAUACUACUGUGGGGAGAAUUUGGGGGCCCUUCAUUGAUUUUACUCCUGCCAGCCUUACCCUGUUUUCAGCUCUUAUCAUCAAGAAGGUCUUUCUUUUAUUGUUAGCUCUUUGUGUAAUUUAGGUCAUUUCUUUAAAAAAAUUUGUUGAGAAAUUCACGUCACAUAAAAUUAACCAUUUAAACGUGAACAACUCAGUAGCAUUUAGUACACUUACAAUGUUGUGCAACUACCACCUCUAUCUAGUUCCAAAAUAUUUCCAUCACUCCAAAGUAAAAUUCCUGACCUAUUUAGCAGGUUUUUCCCCUUCCCCACUCCUCUCAGCCCCUGACUAACACCGAUCUGUGUUCUGUCUCUAUGGAUUCAUCUAUUCUGGAUGUAUCACGUAAAUUGAAUCAUACAUGUGACCUUUUGUAUAUGGCUUUUUUCAUUUAGCAAAAUAUCUUGGAAGUUCAUUGUGUUGCAGCAUGCAUCAGUACUUCAUUCCUUUUCAUGGCCAGUAUUCUAUUGCACACAAUCAGUACCAUGAUUUGUUUAUCCAUCCAUUCGCUGAUAGACAUUUGGGGUCUUUUUACUUUAUGGCUAUUAUGAAUAAUGCUGCUAUGAGCAUGUGCAUACAUGUACUUGUCUGAAUAUAUUUUUUCAGUUCUUCUAGUAUCUAUGUAGGCGUGAAAUUGCAGGGUCAUGUGGUAAUUUUACAUUUAAAAGGCCCACUUCUGUUUGUUUGAUCUUACUGGAUGUAGAUGUACAUGUUGAUCAUGAAGAAAGCCAGCCUUUUCUGAGCUAUAUAAUUUUGACAUCUGGCUUUAUUUGGGAAACUUUUAAACCAGGGUUACCCAUUACAGUUACAGUUUCCCUGAGGGAAACCCUAAAAUAGGCAUUUAAAGAAAUAGUAGUUCUUUCUUAUCACAUCCAUCCUAUGUGCCAAGGAGAGUGCUAAGCACUCUUUGGACAUGAGUUUUAGUCCCCAGAACAACAUUGCCUAAUGGUAAUUAUUAUACCCCUUUUACAGAUAAAGAAGCUGAAGUCUAAAAUGGUUAGAGAGCUUGUUCAGUGCCAUGUAGCUUCUAGUGGUGGGAUUUGAAGCUUUGGAUGUCUGACCCCAAAGAACAUCUUUCUGCUACACCAAGCAGUCUUCCUCAAGAACUUUCUAGGCUGCUGCUGUCAGCUAUGUUGUUGACCUUUUAUGAGAAAUUACUAGCCAGCUUUUGCUGUGAGAUUUUUUGCAAUAAAAGCAUAGCAUUUAUCAGGAUCACUUUGAUUGGUAAAUGCAGAAAUCAUAAAAGGGGAAUAUAAAAUAAUAACUGUAUAGGGAUAGUUCAGGAAAUCCAAAGGCAGUAAUGCAUGAAGGUCUCAGAAAGGAUUGGAAGUGGAGCUUGGAAAGUUUCUAAGAACCAGGGAAUUUUCUAUCUCCAUCUCUUACCCACGCUUCUCUCCGUGUCUGCUGCCUUAUUUCUCUACAUUGAUUGGUUUUCUCUGAUAUCUAGUGCAUGGGAUAGAAAAUGGUAUGCCACAGUGUCUGCAUUUAUAUCUCCCCUGUUCAAGGGAGUAGCCAGCUGAGUCUGGCAUCACUUAGUUCCAAUUUCAAGUUGCCAGGGAAGGGACUUCUAUUGGCUCCACUUAGAUUGGUCACUGAACCUUUGACUGAAGACUAUGGCUACAUAGCAGGUCCACAUUAUACAUUCGUGCUAAGACCAUUUGGAGGGAAAUGGAUUGAUAAUCCUUUGCAAAAUAGGUGAACAUUCAUUGGUGGAAGACCCAGAGAUGACAAAGCGUAUCCUCUCCAGCUUUCACGAGAACAUCUGUGAACCAGACAUGAGAGAAUUUGAAAUGGAGAAACUGCAAUACUCUAAGCUGUUAUAGGCAGAGAGGGAUGUCUGUGAAACAUUGGAAGUAGCCUGUAUAGUAGAGGACCUCUGGAUAGUGUAGGAAACUUCUAAAGGUGGUACUUGCAUCUGGAAGUGGUGUUCUUCUCUCUAGAAGGAGACACAUGCAACACUGUUCAGCUCCAGAGCAGCUGCAGAGAUGCCAGCAGGACUGUGAACCUCUUUUAACAUUUUAUGGUCAUUUGCAUUGGUAUAUUAGGAAUAACAGCCACUAGACCCAUUAGAAUAUUGAGGUAGUAACCCAAUUCACACUUAAGGUAUGAACUUGGAACUGCUACAAACAGACAGACUAAAAAUUCUCAAACUCUCAAAACUGGAAGGUGGCCAUUAAAGGCAGAUGUGUAGAAUGUGGGCCCUCUGAGGCCUAGAGAAGGAUUGUAAUGCAGAAUCAGGAUGACAAAUGGGGACCUUCUGGACAAGAAUGGGGCAGAAAUGUGCCUUUAGACAUACCUGAAGGUAUAGCUAAGGAUCAAGGAUUUCACCAUUCCUGAAGACCCCCUCCUACUCCACUGUGGUGGUUAUAAUUGGUUUUAUUAAUAUGUAUACUUAAGGUUAAAUAAUUUGCAUAGUAGUGUGUAUGGAGGUUAUUCCAUAGCAUGGGCUUGUUUAGUCUCAACUUUUUUGCAGGCAUUAUAAGGUUCCAAACUUUGAAUUUUACAGAUAAGAUUGUGUUGUCCAGAAUGGGUAGAGCAGAUACACAGCUUGCCGUAAAAAAUGCAAUCUGAAUAUAGCUUUUUUCUGUAUUUAGGGCCUUGAGAGAGACACCACUUAUGUUGCCACCUUGGUCAAAUCGAUGCCAAGAUGACAGCAUGGUUUUUGACAAGACAGCAGGCUCUUGAGUUGAUAGGCAUGUGCAAAGAGCCUAAUCCUCCUGGCUUAAAUUAUUGAGACAAUUGCCUUAGACAAUACCCUUAAACUUAGCAGCCCAGCCAGUACAAAAGAGAAAUGUCCAAAUCUUUAUCCUUUUGGAAAGGAAGGAACUAGAAGACAUUCUCAUCUGAUUCUGAAAUAUGAAGUCUGUGGCCCUAGAACAUAAGCAGAUUCUUCACAGAAAUUUACAACAAGGAGGAGCAAAUCUUGGAACCAGUCUUCCCUUUGCCUACCAAAUGAUCAAACUGUAAUUAUCACAUUUACGGGCUAAUUGUUCCAAUUGUAGCAGAAUGAGGUGCUCCAGCCCUCUUCUGCAGACACAAAUAGAAUUGCUAUGAAGAUGGAACGAUGCUUCAAGAACAGCUUGCUUUGAGCUAGUUCUUUUUAUAGUGAAUCUAGGGUCAGGGAAAGGUGCUGUGUGGGCACCCCUGAAACUCUUCCCUCUUCUCUCUGCAUGGCCGGACCCUUUGAACACCCACCUGCAGACACAGACACAGACCCCAAGUAGCACCAAUUGUGACCCAAGACCUUAGGGCUUAAAGUUGUUCUUAUCAGAUCCCUGAACUUGGACAGGAGUUGGUAUUUCUCAGAUAUGCCACAGGGCAGAUGAUGUGGGGAGUUUGGCUUGAGAUGCUUUUACAGGGCAGGAUGAGGACAAUAAUCCUUCAAUAAUAGGGUUACCAGGAGAGGAAGAGAGGAAGGAAGGAAGCGAAAUAUCACAUGGUGAGCAACUACUAUGUUCUAGGCACUGUGCAGCGCAUUUCCUUAUAUGUCAUUUAAUUAGGCAUCAGGGUCCCAGGGAAUUAAAGCACAGUGGACAGAAAUGACAGGGUACAAUGUUUGGGAGUCAGCCAGGUAAGCAGUCUUUAUGUGGGUGUGCUGAAGUCCUGACCUUAUAGUCUUUGGCUUCUGCCUCUGGAGUAGGAAAUAGCAAGGCAGAUGCUAAUCAGGAGAGCCACUUGUGAGCCACUGGAGAGAACUUAGACAAAAUAGUGACAGGGAGAUGAGCCCAGGGGAGUUCAGAAAUUAUUUUUUUCUCCCUUGAGGUGUAGAGUGUCAUGGAAAGGAGGUGAGGGCAGGGGAAUGGUGAGAAAUGAAGCAGGAGCAAAAUCCUGAAAGGCCUUGUAUGUUACAAAGAAAAGUUUGGACUUUCUCCUGGGAUUUUAGAAAGAUAUAGAAGGGUUUUAAGGAUACAAUUUCAUUUGGAAUUGGAAUCUCGUCUUGGCUGCCCAGUGGAGAUGGGAAGAAUAAGAUGCAGGGUGAGAAGGUUGUUGGUGGAGAGCAUGCUACAUGCUAGAGAGAUAGUAUCUUGUCAGGAAUUUUUUAGUUGCUAGUGACAGAAACUUACGUUGUUAACCAACCGCAUUUUGGUUGCACAAACUUCCUCCUCUAUAGAUACAUGGCAGCAUGGUUGCAGACGCAGUCUGCCUUCAGGAACUACUGGAACAGGGGCUUGACCAUGACCACGCCUCUUGCCAUCUCUCAGUUGUACUCCCUUCUCCCUGCCAGCUCUGCCAGGUAUAGAGUAGUGGUUGAGACGAUGGGCUCUGGAGCCAGAGGGUUGUUGUUACUUACUAGCUGUGUGACUCUGAGCAAGUCACUUAACCUUGCUGCACCACAGUUUUCUCAUCUAUAAACAAGAAUGAUCAUAUCGUUUACCUCCUGGAGUUGUUGCGAGGACUAAAUGAGUUAAUGCACUUAAAGGGCUUGGCACAGUCCCUGGUGCAUAGAAGGUGCUUAAUAAGUGUUAGCUGUUAUUGGUGUUAUUUAUAUUAUUUGAAUGCAGACUGUCUUUUUCCAGAUGGUAGGAAAAUAGGCUCUGACAGCUCUUAAAUGUUACAUCUGACUUCAGGUACCAGAGACAUACUGACUAAAUGUUUCCUAGUUCCAAGUCCAAAUAUCUGAAGGGAAAAGACUUGGAGGCCAAGUUGAGUUUGAUUCCACUCUUGGCCCAAUCAACCUGGUCAAGUGGACAAGUGCCAUGAUUAUUCCACUUUGAUCUGUGAUCUUAUAGAUAGAUACAAGGAUCACCAAGAUGAGGCCCUGGCCAGUCUAGAGGGUGAAGAGGCAGGAUCCCCCCCUUCCCCAGAUGAUGGGUGUUGCGAGGGAGGCACUCACCAAAUCCAGUAGACAUUCACAUUUAGAGGGCACCUGCCAAGGCCUUUGAGACCUGUUCACUUGGGGCAUCCUCUAUAGGACAGGCUUGAUCAGUAGAUGUAACAAAGGAGUAUGGAAAUAGGGAUGCAUGGCUGCUGGGUACCUGGUCAGCCCUCUGGCCCUACGGCCCUGAGCUCCUACUUGACAAUUGGCGCCUUAGCCCUGGUCCCUAACCAGCAGUUCUUCAGUCCUGCUCCCUCAGUGCUUGACCAUUUCUCCUAGGCAGGCUUCCUUUUUUCCUUUAUUAGAGGGCCUGGUCUGUACCUUCUGAUACCCCCAGACCCUUUUGCUGUGGUUUAAAAACCAGAUCCCACUCUCUUACCAAUCCCAUCUUCUCUAUCUGGGUGGGUUAAAGGUGAAGGUAGAAAUAGGAUGCUCUGUCAUUCUCUGCCCUUUUUAUCCUCCAGGGCCUCAUUUAUACCAAACCUUCUCAGUACCCUCUUGGCUCAGUGACAUUUUCCUGUACACCAACCUGUCAAUAGCUGCGAUUCAAAUUCUGUGCUCAACGAAAUUCCAAAUCAGUCCAGGUCUUGGACCUUUAGGAUCACUUGAAAAUAGUCAAAAUAGAGAAUGUUAAAAUUUGUAAGUGUCAAGAGUCUAUAAUACAGAUGUAGAACAAAUUAACCCUGUCUCUAGUAAUUGGUUGAAGGCUUUUGGUGCAGGUGACAUUUAUCGGAGCCAUGGAGGGUGGGUAGGAUUUUGACAAAGCAGGAGAGUGAUAUGGAAGAUUAGAGUGAGGCAUGGGGAUGGGGACAGGGCAGUUUGUAUUUUCAGGGUGGGGAAGGUCAGAUGUGCCUGAAGCUCAGGAUGAAUGGAGCAAUUAAUGGGAGAUAAAGCUAGAAUGCUACAAAAUUCUCAGAACCCCAAGGCAGACAGCAUUUUCCUUCCAAGGAAAAUGUGGGUAACACUUUUGAGGGUCCCAUGCAUUGUUGUAAGCAAUGAGUGAGAAAGCCUUUAUUAUGAAGGAACAGGCUAGAGUCAGUGGAGCAUGUGUGUAUUUUGUUGUGCUCGUGGAAGUCAGCCUGAAUGUGGUGAGCCUGGUUUUUUUGUUUGUGGUAGAUUUCAAAAUCCAUCACCUCAUAAUAUGUUUACUGGUCCCUGGUUUACUUUCCAGAAGGUGCUCAGAGUAAUGCUCAUGAACACUUGUGGACCAGAGAUGAGCUGCCUUCCCAAAACGUAAGCAUCUCCCAUUUAAAACUUGCAGAAAUAUCAGUGUCUUCCAUUUAAACCAUCUUGGAUUCCCUGUCUCUGAUUGAUAAAUUAUUUGAUUACAUGGUUAGUUGCUUCAUUAGACUGUAAACUCUAGGAGGGCAGGGACCCAUUCACAUCAAGACUGUCAUGUAUUACAGCAUCUGGCCCAGGGCCUGGAGCAGAAUGAGUUCUUAAUAUAGCUUAGGUAAGCUAAGCUGCACUGGACUUUGAGAGUUUGAGUGUGGGAAAGAACUUUGAAAGGUAGAAGGCCAGGAACAGUUUGAGAGGGUGUGAAGGGGUCAGUCAGGGCAGUGCGAUUAGAAAUAACAGAAUCUGUUCUACCUGGCUAAGCAGAAAGAGGUUUAUGAAAAAGUAUUUGUAGCUCACAGAAUUGCUGGGAGAGUUGAAGAAACAAUCUAAAUUGACCUUCUAGAAAUGGCUUCCCAAAAUCACACUGCACAGUUGCUGCCUCUGCCAAAAUCAGGAAGCUGCACUAUUAGGAAGUUGCUGCCCCAGUUCUCGGCUCCACAGCCAAGUCAGUUUAGCUCUGAUCUGUACAAGAUAAUUCUUGCCUCCUGCUAUGGCUCUUUCCCCAUGCAACUCGGUUCUAGCACUAGACUAGUGCUUCUGAUUAGAGAAACUGAAUCACAGUUUCUCUAAUCUAGGUGACAUAAUCUAGGUAACAAAAAGUUUGGAAAAUAGCGUAUUUAGUAUUGUAGUCUUCGUGUGGAACACCAAAGAGGGUCUCGAAUAAAUCAACUCAUGGUUUCUGGGGCUGCUAGGAAGCCUACAAGGAUAUGGGUUUAGGCAUAGGGGGUGUCACUCAUCCAUUCAAGUGCACAUUCUCUGAGAGCCUACUGUGUCCAGGGCCUGAUCAAGGAGAGGUGCAGAGACACAGUCCCCACCCUUGGGACACUGACAGUCCAAGGGAACAAUGCAGACAUGGUCAGGAAGAAACUAUCAUGCCUGUCUCAGAGGAUGGUUGAGGAUAUUGCUUCAGAUAGGAGCUAAGGAACGCUCUCCAACUCAUCACCAGGGUACGAGGGGUGCAGAUCCUGGCAAUGGAUGUGGCUGGGCCUACCAGCAUGAUACUGAACCUUUUAGGCAAAAGCUACUCUCUCAAAGAUUCUCAGAGCUGGAAGGGGACUUAGAAGUUAGUUAAUCCAACUGUGAUGGCUGCACAAACUUUCUCCUCUCUAGCAUCUCUGAAGAGUGAUUGAAGUUAUUUUUAGCUUUUAUCUAGAUUCUUGGUUUAUUUUUUAGUCUUUAGGUUCUCCUUUUACAGGUCAAUACUCUGUGGCAGGUUGUCUCCCAGAUAAAAUAUGCAAACAGGUGUAAGAAAAUUUAGUAACAGCGAGUUUAAAAAUGUUAAUGAAAUCAGGACACGAAGGAAUUGCAAGAGUUUAGUUCCCACAGCAGCUUAGUUAAUAUGCUAGGUUUUUGAAGCUGUGAACAAAUCUGUGAGGUUGAGCUGUGAGUCUCCUCUGAAGGAUAUGAGAUGGGAAGAUAAUCAUCACAGGAAAAACGGCCGAGGGGAUACCACCUUAAUCAGAAGGAAAUGUGUGUAGAUGAGCCUCCCUUUUAACAGGGCACUAAUUGCUCCCGCUUUGUUUAUUUUUGUCUCCUUGAUAUAACUGUGUAGAGUCUCUGGGCCCAAUUCCAAGUCCAUAUCCAGGCUCCCAGUGGUCCUUUCCUCCUUCUGAUGAGCCUAGAGCUAAGCUAAAGGUGGCUGCCAUAAAGCAGGCUUUCCCAAAUGCUGUGCCAGCUCUCCUAGCCACCAGCAGCUGUGAGGGAACUGCCUGUCAGCUGCUUGGCCAUUGAAGGUGGUGAGCGAACAAGACAAUGGAACAUUUAUUAAAAAGACAGGUAGUAAUAUGCAAAACAGAUGUGUAAGCCCAGCUCUAGGGAUCAGGGAAAGUCAAGGCUUCUGCUCAGGGGAAAGGAGGGGUCCUCAGCACAGCUGGGCAGAAUGAGCCCUGGGGCAGGAGGGACAUUCAGGAUCCAGGGCUGCAGGAGUAGGACCUUGUAGCUCCUCAAUGUGUUGCUGCACCACUAAGUUUCUCUUGGAAGUCUUUGGAUCAUUCUAGGGACCUGCAGGACACAGAUGGCAUUCCUUGGCUGGGAUUUUUGAAGCAACUUUUUAAUGCAGGGACUAUUUGCAAAGGUGUUGGCAGAGACACAACACUAGGAGCCAUUAUCACUCUGAGGCCUGGGGAGAUGGUGGUCUUGGACCCUGGUUAGAAGUUGGAGCUGUUUAAAGGCUGCCUGACAGGAACUGUGGCCACAGAGGAAGGCAGACAUGGUGGGAUGGAGUGGGUGGGGGAAUAAAUACCAUGACCUUUCCCUCCUGCAGUCUUCAACCUCCUGCCAGUUGCCCCAUUGGCUGGAAGCUAGAGGGUAAGGGACCCUGGGAAUGCACUCAUAGAGAUCAGCCCCACAGUAGAGGAGAGGAGAAUGGAGAAUGGAUCAGGGGCCAAGGGGCCAAGGGCAAGCAGAGAAUAACCGGCAAGGUAUUCUUGAGUCCUCUCUCUCCCAGAUGUCUGACUUUCCUUCCUCUCCAGCCAAGUUCCUGAGGGAAUCAGAUGGACUGACUCAGUUAACUACCAUUGUCCCUGGGGAGAGGCAGGAGGUGCUGCUUAUAGGCUUGUGCUGGUAGCUUGUCUGCUGCAUGUGGGGCUCCCCAUCUGUCUAGACCAUCUUGCCACACAACUCACCCUCACCGGGAAAACUCUGCUGUCUGCCUCUUAGAAGAAGCAAGGGGUGCAGUAGGACCCACAGACUCAAAUACUGCUAUUGAAGUGCUUUAAUUGAGCAGGGUCCUUUCUGUCCCUUAUAUAUUUUGACUCCAAGCUUGGUCCUUCUCUGGAACUAUCCCCAGUAAUCUCAUCAUAUUUUGGGCUAUGAUUAUAUAAUCAAUAUGAUCUCACUUGUUUUUUUUUUUUUAUCUUUCAGGAAUUCCCUAAAAGUUCUGAUUUGGUUAUGGGUAAUCUUUUUUAUUUUUAGUGUUGCUACUAGUAUGUAUAUAUCUCUAUAUAUCUCUAUCUCUAUAUAUAUCUAACUGUGACAGGUAGAAUAAUGACUCCAAAGAUAUCCACAUCCUAAUCCCUGGGACCUAUGAAUAUGUUACCUUACAUGGUAAAAGGGAUUUUGCAGAUGUGAGUAAAUGAAGACUCUUGAUAUGAGGAGAUUACCUUGGAUUAUCCAUGUGGACCCGAGGAUAUCUAUGAGGGAAAGAGGGAUGCAGGAGAGUCAGAGUCGGAAAAAGGAAUGUUCAAGGAAAGCAGAGGUCAGAGUGAUGUGAAGAUCCUGGCUUUGAAGAUGGACUGCAAGUGGUUUGUAAAAACUGGAAAGGGCAAAGAAAUUAAUUCUCCCCUAGAACCUGCAGAAGAAACACAGACCUUGACUUUAGCCCAGUAAGACCCAUUUGGGACCUCUGACCUCCAGAACUGUAAGAUAAUAAAUUAGUGUUGUUUUAAGCCAAUAAGUUUGUGGUAAUUUGUUAUAGAAGGAAUAGGAAACAAAUACACUUACUAUAUUAACUCUUCUAACCCUCAAAACAAUCCUUUUCUUUUUUGAGACUGAGUCUUGCUCUGUCACCCAGGAUGGAGUGCAGUGUUGCAAUCUCAGCUCACCGCAACCUCCACCUCAGCCUCCAAGUAGCUGGGAUUAUACAGGUGUGUGCCACCACGCCCAGCUAAUUUUUGUAUUUUUAGUACAGAUGGGGUUUCACCAUAUUGGCCAGGCUGGUCACGAUCUCCUGACCUCAAGUGAUCCGCCUGCCUCAGCCUCCCAAAGUGCUGGGAUUACAGGUGUGAGCCAACACGCCCGGCCAAAACAACCCAUUUUGAAAAUGAAGACACUGAGGCUCAGAGGUUUAAACAGUUUGCUAAGGUCACAUAGCUGGUAGAUGGUAGAGAGCUGAGAUUUGAACCUAGGUAGUCUGACUCUGGUGUCUGGGUAUUUACCCAAUGUACCCAAUGCCUCUCAUGUUAAUUGGUUUAUUAUUUUUUUCAAAAUAUCUUUUCCUGCAGUUUUACAAAAUUUUAAGAGGGAGGUAAGUUUGUUUUCUUAGUAGGUAUUUUGGUUUCAUUUUGGCGUAUUCCUCAUGAAUGCCAAGAUUCCACUCUACAAACCACCACAGUUUCAUGGUUAAGAAUGGAACUAAACCAGUCUUAGUGUUGCUUCUUACUAGUUGAGUGAUGUUGUGGAAGUUAUUUAAUAGAGGAUUAGUGUUCUCAUUUUUAAAAGUGGGAUAAUAAUCGUACUUACCACGCGAUUGUUUUAAAGUGAGAUAAUGCAUACAAAGCACUUGGCACAGCAUUUGACACAGAGUAAGAAGGUGGUAUUUAUUGAGCUAUUACCUAACUAAUAAUGAUAGCAUUACUAGAGCUAAUAAUAUAAUAUUAGCAUUAUUUUUAUUUACCAGAAGUGUAUACUUCAGGCCCGCUCAGUCCAGUUCAGAUUCUAAAGCUUACACAGUGGGAGGGAGGGAGAGGCUUAUCUGGCAUAAUGCCCUUUCCUCAGAUUCUAGAAUAUUGGUAAUAACAGGCGUGGGUCCCGGCAUGUCAUUAGAAGAAAGCUGGCAGCAGCCUCACUCUUGUGUGCCUUUCCACCAUCUGAAGCAGAGACAAAGGACACUUAUCCAAAGAGAAAAAUUAGAUUAGGCAAUUUACCAAUUCAUGGAAUUCAUUCAGUUGUUUCUGUCCUUUCCUUUUCAAGUAGCUGUGUCCCUAUCUGCCUCCUACAGGCAGUACCUGGACAGGUCAGCCUGUGUGUCUGCAGAACUCUCUACUGCUGGGGGACCCUGUCCAGGAUCACUGGAUUGAUGUCACUGGAAGUGAAGGUAGAGGGCUGUUUCUUGGUUCAGUUAGCUGAUUUAGCUACAGUUCAUUUCCCUUCUAAUUUUGGGCUUGACAAGGCAGACCUGAGGGGAAAGACAGGCAGAGGCAGCUUUUGAUGUCAGAGCUCUCCUACCUACCUGCCCCUCUCCUGCCUAUCCUGUUCUAUGCUCUCCCCCAAUCCUACAGUAGAAUUAUCAGAGGAAGAGAGGGCGUGAUUGGCAGCUGGGAGGGAGCAGCCAUCAGAGCUAUGCCUCUCUCAUGGAGCACCUGGAGAAAAGAAGAUUCUAGCUUUUCCAGCCCAUGAACAGCCCAGUGCUUAUCUUCCACUGCAUCCAAAAGGGAAGCUGGGGGUGUAGUGGAGGGUGGGCUUCUACUUUUUAAGAAAAUGCAUUUUUUUUUAUUAUAAAUGUAUUGCUUCCUUAGAAAUAAAAAGGUAUGAAAAUGUAUAGAGUUCAGAAUAAAAUUAUUCUCUAAUUCCUUACCCUGAAGAUGAUAUUGUUAACGGAUUGGUGCACUUUCUUUCCAGUGUGUUGCAGCUUAAUUUUCUCACUUAUCAUUAUGUCUUGGACAUUUUCCCAAGUUUGUACAUAGAAUUCUAUUUCAUUCUUAAUAACUCAAUAGUAUUACAGGGUAUAGGCAUAACAUUAUUCAUUUAACUGGUGCUCCUAUUAAUGGAUACUUUGUAUUCUUUUUUUGUUAUUAUAAACAAAACAAAGCUGUACUGCACAUCCUUUUAGAUACUUCUUAGUGCAUGUACGUAAGAAUGUCUAUAGGAAGAAUCCCUAGAAAUGGAAUGGCUGAGUCAAAGAGUUUGCAUAUUUAAAAUGUUGGAAUGUAUUGCUAUAUUGCCCUCUAAAAUGUUUUAAUAAUUUACAUACUCUUAGGUAGGUGUUCUUUAACUUUCAAGAGCCCUUACCAGUAUGCAAUAUGUGAAUUGCCUGACAUUUUGACAACCUUCAAUAACCUCUUUCAGUGAAGCUCAAUAUACUUUGUGUGCUUGGUACAGAUACUAUGGUAGGCAUGGGGUGUUCAAGAAUGUCUGAAGGUUGAAUAGUACUCCAAACCUAGCCUACAGUGUGUGUCCUAUGAAGCCUUGAAGUUAGGCAUUGUACUCUCUUCUCUAGCUACAAAAGUCCUGGAUGGCAUCUUCUUCCAAUAGAAGGCUAUUUAAUCUCCAUGGAAAAUUUGUUGUUUUGUGUGGCUACCAUUAUCAAUAAUCGCAGAUCAUCUGGAUGAAUUGCUGCAGCUUCUACACCAGAACUUGCUCCUUCAUCUUAUACUUUUUUGUUCUGGAGACAACUUCUUUCCUUAGAGGAGUUUUUGAGUAGGGGAAGAGACAAGUACAGCCAUAGCUCAGAAAUAAUGUGGUUUAGUUCCAGACUAACACAAUAAAGUGAGUAAAAAGAAUGUUUUGGUUUCCCAGUUCAUAUAGAAGUUAUGUUUACCUUAUAAACUCUAUUAAGUGUGCAAAGCAUUAUAUCUACAAAAGUACAUACCUUAAAAGUACUUUAUUUGCUAAAAAAAUGCUAAUGAUAUCCAAACCAUCAGCUACUUGUAAUCUUUUUGCUGGUGGAGGGUCUUGUCUCGAUUUUGGUGGCUGCUGACUGAUCAGCGUGGUGGUUGCUGAAGGUUGGAGUGGUUGUGGCAAUUUCUUAAAAUAAGACAACAGGCUGGGUAUAUUGCCUCAUACCUGUAAAUCCCAGCACUUUGGGAGGCUGAGGUGGGAGAAUCUUUUGAGGCCAGGAGUUUAAGACCAGCCUGGGCAACAUAGUGAGACCGUGUGUCUACAGAAAAUAAAAAGAAAUUAGCUGAGUGUGGUGGUGCAUGCCUAUACUACCAUCUACUAGGGAGGGUAGGAUGGAAGGGUUGCUUGAGCCCAGGAAUUCAAGGUUGUGCCACUGCACUCCAGCCUGGAUGGCAGAGUGAGAUCCUGCCUCAAAAUAU